AUUGAACGCUGGCGGCAUGCCUUACACAUGCAAGUCGAACGGUAACAGGCCGCAAGGUGCUGACGAGUGGCGAACGGGUGAGUAAUGCGUCGGAACGUGCCCAGUCGUGGGGGAUAACUGCUCGAAAGAGCAGCUAAUACCGCAUACGACCUGACGGUGAAAGCGGGGGACCGCAAGGCAUUGCGCGAACGGAGCGGCCGAUGUCAGAUUAGGUAGUUGGUGGGAUAAAAGCUUACAAAGCCGACGAUCUGUAGCUGGUCUGAGAGGACGACCGGCCACAGUGGGUCUGAGACCCGGCCCAGACUCCUACGGGAGGCAGGAGUGGGGAAUUUUGGACGAUGGGCGCAAGCUUGAUUCAGAGAUGCCGCGUGCAGGAUGAAGGCCUUCGGGUUGUAAACUGCUUUUGUACGGAAAGAAAAGACUCUAGUUAAUACCUUGGGUCCAUGACGGUACCGUAAGAAUAAGCACCGGCUAACUACGUGCCAGCAGCCGCCGUAAAAC
rnacentral:rRNA from 1 species